rnacentral:rRNA from 1 species
GAUGAACGCUAGCGGGAGGCCUAACACAUGCAAGCCGAGCGGUAGAGUUUCUUCGGAAUCUUGAGAGCGGCGUACGGGUGCGGAACACGUGUGCAACCUGCCUUUAUCAGUGGGAUAGCCUUUCGAAAGGAAGAUUAAUACCCCAUAAUAUAUUUGAUGGCAUCCUUAGAUAUUGAAAGCUUUGGCGGAUAGAGAUGGGCACGCGCAAGAUUAGAUAGUUGGUGAGGUAACGGCUCACCAAGUCGAUGAUCUUUAGGGGGCCUGAGAGGGUGAUCCCCCACACUGGUACUGAGACACGGACCAGAAUCCUACGGGAGGCAGCAGUGAGGAAUAUUGGACAAUGGGUUAGCGCCUGAUCCAGCCAUCCCGCGUGAAGGACGACGGCCCUAUGGGUUGUAAACUUCUUUUGUACAGGGAUAAACCUACUCUCGUGAGAGUAGCUGAAGGUACUGUACGAAUAAGCACCGGCUAACUCCGUG